rnacentral:rRNA from 1 species
GGAUGAACGCUGACAGAAUGCUUAACACAUGCAAGUCAUUGGCGAAGCUGCGCUUGCGCAGUCUAGCCAAGGCGGACGGGUGAGUAACGCGUAAGGAACUUGCCCUGCAGACAGGGAUAACAGACGGAAACGACUGAUAACACCUGGUAUUGUCAGGCUGGCGCAUGCCGGCCUGAUGAAAGGAGACGCUGCAGGAGAGCCUUGCGUCCUAUUAGCUAGUUGGUGGGGUAACGGCCCACCAAGGCGAUGAUAGGUAGCCGGCCUGAGAGGGUGAACGGCCACAAGGGGACUGAGAUACGGCCCUUACUCCUACGGGAGGCAGCAGUGGGGAAUAUUGGACAAUGGGGGCAACCCUGAUCCAGCAAUUCUGUGUGCACGAAGAAGGUUUUCGGAUUGUAAAGUGCUUUCAGCAGGGAAGAAGAAAGUGACGGUACCUGCAGAAGAAGCGACGGCUAAAUACGUG